rnacentral:tRNA from 1 species
GCGGGCGUGGUGGAACUGGUAGACACGCCAGAUUUAGGAUCUGGUGGCGAGAGCCGUGGGGGUUCGAAUCCCUCCGCCCGCACCA